GUGGGUUGGAAUUAAUUUAUUUARGUUAAAGUUAAAAGGGGAAGGUAAGAGGUUAAUUAAUUUUAUAGGUAAAAUUUGUUAAAUUGGUUGUUUCUUAGGGUAGAGAAUUGAAGCUUUGAAAGUUAAAGUUGAGACUAGGAUUAGAUACCCUAUUAUUAAAAUUGUAAAGAAGAAGAACUUGAGUAGUAUUAGUUAAGUACUUGAAACUCAAAGAAUUUGGCGGUGUCUUAGUCUUUUCAGAGGAAUCUGUCCUAUAAUCGAUAUUMCACGUUAAAUGUUACUUAAUUUAGUUAGUCAAUUUGUAUACCGCCGUCAUGAGAUCAUCUUUUUAGAGGAAGAAUUUUCUUGAUAUUAUAAGAUAAUAUGUCAGGUCAAGGUGCAGUUUAUAGUUAAGAAGGAGAUGGAUUACAAUAAAUUUAUUUAAAUGGAUUUUUGACUGAAARGUAAGGAUGAAGGUGGAUUUGAAGGUAAUUUUGUUAAAUUAUGAUAAAAUGAUUAAAGCUCUAGGACAUGUACACAUCGCCCGUCGCUCUCGUUAGUAAGAUGAGAUAAGUCGUAACAUAGUAGUCGUACUGGAAAGUGUGGCUAGAAAGUCAA
rnacentral:rRNA from 1 species